GGCCACCUUCGGGGGGCUGUAAACAUAGGCAGGCAAGACCUGCCGUUAGCUAACGGAAGACAGAAA
rfam:Roseovarius nubinhibens ISM scf_1099451318306 genomic scaffold, whole genome shotgun sequence.